AAAAUAGAAUGACUCAUCCACUGACAUGUUUGGAAAGAUUAAAUUGGACAUAGUCAUUUCAGCUCUACAACUUUUUCUGGAAUGGAGCAGCUUGUAAGAGGGGACAUCAUUAAUUAUUCUGCAUGUUCUAAGAUAUGUGCUAUGGAAUGGAAGUGAAUUUAUUUUGCAGCCUGAAUUAAGGUGGUGGGAUGCCUUACUACCUGUAUCCAGAAGUUUGUACCUCUCACCUUAGGGAAUGGAGAACAGCUUCCUUACCCAUGUCCUGUCACUAAAAUAGAGCAACUGAGUA
rnacentral:lncRNA from 1 species